CUAUACUGUGAAACUGCGAAUGGCUCAUUAAAUCAGUUAUCGUUUAUUUGAUAGUACCUUACUACUUGGAUAACCGUGGUAAUUCUAGAGCUAAUACAUGCUAAAAAACCCGACUUCGGGAGGGUUGUAUUUAUUAGAUAAAAAACCAAUGCCCUUCGGGGCUCCUUGGUGAUUCAUGAUAACUUAACGAAUCGCAUGGCCUUGCGCCGGCGAUGGUUCAUUCAAAUUUCUGCCUAUCAACUUUCGAUGGUAAGAUAGAGGCUUACCAUGGUAUCAACGGGUAACGGGGAAUUAGGGUUCUAUUCCGGAGAGGGAGCCUGAGAAACGGCUACCACAUCCAAGGAAGGCAGCAGGCGCGCAAAUUACCCAAUCCCGACACGGGGAGGUAGUGACAAUAAAUACUGAUACAGGGCUCUUUUGGGUCUUGUAAUUGGAAUGAGUACAAUUUAAAUACCUUAACGAGGAACAAUUGGAGGGCAAGUCUGGUGCCAGCAGCCGCGGUAAUUCCAGCUCCAAUAGCGUAUAUUAAAGUUGUUGCAGUUAAAAAGCUCGUAGUUGAACCUUGGGCCUGGCUGGUCGGUCUGCCUCACCGCAUGUACUGAUUCGGCCGGGCCUUUCCUCCUGGGGAGCCGCAUGCCCUUCACUGGGUGUGUCGGGGAACCAGGACUUUUACUUUGAAAAUUAGAGUGUUCAAAGCAGGCCUUUGCUCGAAUACAUUAGCAUGGAAUAAUAGAAUAGGACGUGUGGUUCUAUUUUGUUGGUUUCUAGAACCGCCGUAAUGAUUAAUAGGAACAGUCGGGGGCGUCAGUAUUCAGUAGUCAGAGGUGAAAUUCUUGGAUUUACUGAAGACUAACUACUGCGAAAGCAUUCGCCAAGGAUGUUUUCAUUAAUCAGUGAACGAAAGUUAGGGGAUCGAAGACGAUCAGAUACCGUCGUAGUCUUAACCGUAAACUAUGCCGACUAGGGAUUGG
rnacentral:rRNA from 2 species